rnacentral:rRNA from 1 species
AUGGCUCAGGAUGAACGCUGGCGGCGUGCUUAACACAUGCAAGUCGAACGAAGCACUUAUUGAAACCUCGGGUAGAUUAUUCUGUGACUUAGUGGCGGACGGGUGAGUAACGCGUGGAUAACCUGCCUCAUACACCGGGAUAACAGUUGGAAACGGCUGCUAAUACCGGAUAAGCAUACAGUACCGCAUGGUACAGUGUGAAAAAACUCAGGUGGUAUGAGAUGGACCCGCGUCUGAUUAGCUAGUUGGUAAGGUAACGGCUUACCAAGGCGACGAUCAGUAGCCGACUUGAGAGAGUGAUCGGCCACAUUGGGACUGAGACACGGCCCAAACUCCUACGGGAGGCAGCAGUGGGGAAUAUUGCACAAUGGGGGAAACCCUGAUGCAGCGACGCCGCGUGAAGGAUGAAGUAUUUCGGUAUGUAAACUUCUAUCAGCAAGGAAGAAAAUGACGGUACUUGACUAAGAAGCCCCGGCUAAAUACGUGCCAGCCGCGGC